AAAGCAGGGGAUCGCAAGACCUUACGCUUUUGGAGCGGCCGAUGUCUGAUUAGCUAGUUGGUGAGGUAAAGGCUUACCAAGGCUUCGAUCAGUAGCUGGUCUGAGAGGACGACCAGCCACACUGGGACUGAGACACGGCCCAGACUCCUACGGGAGGCAGCAGUGGGGAAUUUUGGACAAUGGGCGAAACCCUGAUCCAGCCAUGCCGCGUGAGUGAAGAAGGCCUUCGGGUUGUAAAGCUCUUUCAGCCGGAAAGAAACGGUUACGAUUAAUACCUGUAACUAAUGACGGUACCGAAAGAAGAAGCACCGGCUAACUACGUGCCAGCAGCCGCGGUAAUACGUAGGGUGCGAGCGUUAAUCGGAAUUACUGGGCGUAAAGGGUGCGCAGGUGGUUUUGUAAGUCAGAUGUGAAAUCCCCGGGCUUAACCUGGGAACUGCGUUUGAAACUACAAAGCUAGA
rnacentral:rRNA from 1 species